GUGAAAUGAUGAAGCAGUUUAUCCAUUCGCUGAGCGGUGUGAUGUCAUAGGCUUCGCCCCGCCCCCGUUCUGGGGGCGGAGCCUCUCCGGCGGCGAUGGCGGCGUUCGGCGUUCUGUCGGCCGCCGCCUGAAACCGUUCGGAGAGAAAGCUGCGACUCGCCCGCCGAGACGACCGACUGUGCUGAUCAC